CGUGAUGUCAGAGCUCUGAAUAGAGCCCAGGACUGCAUGUCUCUGGGUGUGGGAAACCUGUUUACUUGCUGAAUACUUGCUUUCUUCCCUAGCAUUCUUUCUCACUAAAGGAGACACACAGGGCUGAAGUCAUGAGGCUAUUUCCCUACCUUGCUGGCUCUAUUUCCUGUGUUAGGUGAGCUGACCAUUUUCUAUUUAGCUCCCAGCCAAGACAGAAGUUCCCCAGGCAAAAACAGGGGAAAAAAAAAUCCCUCAUAGCCAGAAUGAAACACAGAGGUCCUCUGCUUGGCUGUGGAAUUUUGAAGAGCGAGCUUGCUGGAAAGAGGCAUGGCAUGCUUCUGAGUCCCAAACUAGAUUACAGCCAAAGAGAAUGGAGGGACAGAGCAAUGCCUUGCUGUCGUGGAAGAAAAUAACACACUUUGAAUUGAAUUAGUUGUUCUGUAACCAAGCCUUGUCACAUUAACGCUGUGUGUAUCAAAAAACGCUCAGAGCUGUCAGCUUCAUACGCCUGUGAUUCGGUGCUGCUCAGAAGACUGUAGGUCGGCUGGGGGCUGGCUGCCAGAGGACAGGACUGCCGGCCUUGCUCGCCUUCACACUGCAGAUUAAGUUGAGGUACACCUCACAUGUCUCUCAUCCCUUUGGACAGAUAAGUGUAUCUUUCAAUUCUUAUUAGAGAAGCUUCAAUUUACAGCAGAUAGUGAUUAAUACGGAGCCUCAUUAUUGGCCAAGGUGAAGAGAAUAAGAGACCAAGUCUUCUAGGAAAAAGGUAAGUGCAUUCUACAUGUGGAAAUGAGGACAAAGCUAUGAUUUUAGUGAUCAGAAGAGUAGAUUAUGGUGUGUCACCAGCGCUUGUUUUUGUUUACAAGGCACACAACUACACUAGAUUUCCUUAAAACUAAGAGUGGCCAAAUGAUUGAGAUUUAGAGAAAUAGACAAAAGUGGUGAUUGACUUCUAGGUAGGCAUCAUGCAUUCUUUUGACAGGACACUGUUUUAAUUAAGAAUAAGGAAGAGAUACGGGAAGUGAGAGAAACUCAGGGGUCACUUGUAGAGAGCCACACAGCCAUAAAGUGGAGAGGGUCUGGGUCUCUGAAUUAUACCUGAAGGAAGGAUACCAAUAGGAACAACCUGUGCAGACUGCUAGAAGCAAGAAACAAUGUCUGCCAUGAUAAGCCACCAGGAGCUGUACUUGUCUCCCCUGAUAUGCUAUUGUAUUACAUAAAAUAUGUGCUGAUUGUAGAUGAUUUGAUAAGUUCUGAAAGUAAUAGAAAGGGGGGACAGUUUUCCACUGCCCAGAGAUAACAGCUUUUACUAUUGUAGUGUGGUCCGCCCCCCACCCACACACACUUCCACUUGUUUUUGCAUAAGAGCAUCAUAGGCCACACGAUGAUGAAAAUAGGAAGAGGGUUUGGUGAUAGUUUUUACAAUGAAAAUCUCUAAUUUCUCAGGUCAUUCACAAUGUACUUUACAGUGCUCCCCUUCUUAAAAAAGGCUGAAUCUCAUGGUAUAGUCCAGACUGGCCUGGCCUCACACUUUCUGUGACUCUUCCACAUCUUUCUCCUGAGUGCUGAGCUUACAGACAGUGAUGGAAGCAGUAUGCAGCUUUUGGGAUAGAAGAUGCUUUUGCCAGAGUGGAGUCAAAGCGUGAUCAAAUGAUCCAGUGUCCAGCUAGGUGAAAAUCAUCUUUUAAAAUGGGGGCUGGGUCCGAGGAGGGAGAACAGACUGUCAGCAGUUCCCAGCGCUAUCAGGAUUCUCUGCUCUGCCACUGACGUUUAUGAGUUGAAAUGAAGAACCCAACCACAGAACAGAAUCUCCAAAGGCUGGAAGGUGCCAGGCACAGUUAUCACAGCAGGAUGCUUUCGGUUCUGGGCCACAGAGCAGCAGCGUUUUGGAGGAGCAUGAGAGCGAGGCUGCAUUCUCUUCACUACUUUGAGGCCACCUAGUGAGAAGGCUGUGGUGGUAUCAUUCUGUGGAAUGCCAACUGGCAGUAAAAGGCACAAGCCACAGCUAUACACAAAUGGAUCAAUCAGCCAAUCAUUUCGAAUCUACAAAGCAAGAUUCGGAAGACAACAUACCCUUGAGAUGCCCGUAUGGAUCUUUCUGUACAACUCAAAUCGAAACAAAUUUGAAUGACAUAUUUCACGUGUAUGCAGAUCUAUCGUUCUAAAUAGUGAUCAAAGAAAGGCAGUGGUGAGUGUGAGAUUGGGAUAUGUUGAUUUUUAAAGGAAGUCAGGAGGACCAACCAGGAAGGAGAUGGCUGUGAAAUAGGCUAUGUCAGGUAUUAGUUUGGUAAGGCUACCUUAAAAAAACAAAAAACCAAACCAAACCAAACCAAACCAAACAAACAAACAAAAAAGAAACCGCCACAGACUUUAAUCAACAGAGCUUUCUCAUCUCACAGUUUCGAAGGCUGACAUUCUAAAUCAAAAUUGGUUCCUAUGAGGACUACGAGAAAGGGCCGGCUUUCCUUGUGUCUCUUUACCUUGUUUUCUGUCUAUGUUUGAUUACCUUUAUAUUCAUUCUCUUUUGCUAAAAGGACCCCGUUCACAUUAAUUUAUGACAAAGCCUGUGGUAGUUUGAGGGAGAAUGGCCCCCAUAAGCUCCUAUGCGUGACUGCUUGAUGGAACUGUUUCAAAAAGGAUUAGGAGGUGUGGCCUUGUUGGAGGGGUGUGUUGCUAUUAUUGGUAGGCUUUGAGGUCUCCAGGAUCAUGAGUUCUCCUUGCUUCUUGCUUGUGGAUCAGAGGUAAGCAUUCAACCACUGCUCCAAGCACCAUCAUAGCUACCUGCUGCCACAUGGGCUCCCUGUCAUAAUGGUCAUGGACACUCACCCUUUGAAACUGUAAGCACACCCUCAAUCAAAUGCUUCCUUUUAUAUGUUGCCUUGGUCAUGGUGUUUCUUCACAGCAAUAGAAAAGCAACUAAGAUAAACCCUGAGCUAAUUACUAGGCUAUGACACAUCCUAAAGACCUUACCUUAACUCAUUUUAUCCAUAAUGAUCUUUUUUUUUUUAAAGGAAAGUCAUAUACUGAGGGGCUAGAUGCUAAGAUCGCAGCACAUGAAUUUUAGGGGGCACAGUUCAACCUAUUACAUUGACACUGAAUUGUAGUUCUGCGUUGGCAUAAAGGGUUAUAGGCACUCAUUGUCCUAUUAAAAUAAAAGAGGACUGUCCUUGGACUAAUGCUGAUUGCCAGCUAAGAAGUAACCCAGUUUGUGGCACUGAGUUGAGAGAGAGAGAGAGAGAGAGAGAUAGAGAGAGAGAGAGAGAAAUCCCUGCUCAGACAGUCUGCGUGCUCAGUGCAGCUGUUGGAGUGGAGGUGGAGUCAAGUCUGAGCUGGGGCUCUGAAUGGGAUGCCUCAAUAAAUAUUGAUGAGCAGUA